GCACUGCUGAGGAGUCCCAUAAUAGGACGAAGCAGCCGUCCAGUGU
rfam:Schistosoma mansoni strain Puerto Rico chromosome 1, complete genome